AAGAGCUGGGGCCUGGCGGAACAUAACAGUUUGCGUAUUUUCCACCUACAUUAUCAAGCUACUGUGACAGCAAGUCAAAGAUUUUCAAAGCCAUCCCAGCCACUGUCCUGUCUCCCAACAAGUGCCAAGAGGCACUGAUUCAAUACUUCGCUGCCGCAGCCUAUAGGUGAAUGUUCUUGGUGAGAUUGGAGGGAGGAACAUUGAUAAAUGUGUGAAGCGAGUAAUGAAGUUCAUAGUAAGCAACACACUGGCCACAAAACUGAACAUGUCUGGAAGGAACAACAAGAAGGCAUUUGGUUCCA